rnacentral:rRNA from 1 species
CCUACGGGGGGCUGCAGUGGGGAAUAUUGCGCAAUGGGCGAAAGCCUGACGCAGCAACGCCGCGUGUGUGAUGAAGGCCCUCGGGUCGUAAAACACUGUCAGGAGGAAAGAAGGCUUCGUCGAGUAACUGCGGCGGAGCUGACGGUACCUCCGGAGGAAGCACCGGCUAACUACGUGCCAGCAGCCGCGGUAAUACGUAGGGUGCAAGCGUUGUUCGGAAUCACUGGGCGUAAAGGGCGCGUAGGCUGCUCGCCAAGUCAGGUGUGAAAUCCCGUGGCUUAACUGCGGAACUGCGCCUGAAACUGGUGGGCUUGAGUACGGGAGAGGGUAGCGGAAUUCCGAGUGUAGAGGUGAAAUUCGUAGAUAUUCGGAGGAACACCGGUGGCGAAGGCGGCUACCUGGACCGAUACUGACGCUGAGGCGCGAAAGCGUGGGGAGCAAACAGGAUUAGAUACCCCUGUAGUC